GGUGGUUUUGGAAAGCUGUUGGUAACUGUCGGAUCAAUGUUUCAUAUUUGACUGCGGUAUAUUUGUAUAGUUUGUUUACAGAUGGAUCUGUGAUGUGCGGCUCAGAGAUCAAUUUUUACACGAGACUGUUUAAUUGCAGUUUAUUUUGCGUCGUGCGCAACCUCUCACGCGCCACUGGAUUAACAUGAAUGUGCGCAGAUUUGGGGUUUUCGCAUCUCAAUAUCCUAAAGAAGUCAUGUGUAUCCAGCUGUAAGGAUUCUCUCUCUGGCCAGUUAGGUUUCAGGAUUUGGCUGAAGAGUUGUCCGACAGAGAGUCACAAUAGGGCUUCCUCAUCAUCCCCGACGAUGGCAGCGUAACUCAUCAGAGCAAUGAGGCCGAUGCAGAACAGUACAGGCCAUCCACAGUCUCCUUCCUGAUCUGAAGCAAUACAUUCUGGUUCUGCUGUGAGAUUUCAUCCAGGGCUCGAG